rnacentral:lncRNA from 1 species
CCCCCUGCCAGGUGCUCUGUACUCCGCAAGCUCUCGAGACUCCGUGACCUAUCAUGCCUGGGCGAGCUUUUUGAAGUGGCACAACUACAAGACAGGAACUAAGAAGAAGUAACUGAAUGCCUACUCUAGGCCAGGUCCUUGCUAGGACUGAACAUGUGUUUGUCGAGGGUGGCUAAGUCUCAGCUGAGGCCGACCAGCACCACCAGACGUCAUCCCGUUGUGACUUCUACCUCCACACCAGAUGGCUUCUUCCCACACCAGUCAAACCAGGGUCUCCCUGAUCUCUGGCAAUGGCCCGGCCAUGCUAAGCAGAAGGAAAAGGACUGGCAAUGUGUGUUUGGGUCCCUGCUGCAGGAACUAGAGGCUGGGAGGAAAGUUUGGGCAGGCAAAUCUGGAUGCAUCCUUGGACAUAUUCCAUUAAGAGCGGUGCCACUCAACCUAUGGCGAUUAGAUGGCAGAGCCAGUGAUGAAGACUCUGGAGCCAUACCACCUGGGUUCUAAGCCCAGCUUUAUCUACUAGCUAUGUGACCCUCAGCAAGUCACUUCACUUCUCUGUGCCUUGGUUUCUUCAGCACACGUACGGUUGGGAUUAAAUAAGUGACUACAUGUCAAAUGCUUCUGGCAAAGGGUACAUGCUCUGAGUGUUGGUGAGCAUUGUUAUUAUCAGACAAAGGCCCGAGAGGCAUGAAAUAGUGUCCCUCUUCUCCCAGGGCAUCACAUCCCCUUCGUGAACAAAGACAUUAGUUGAGGCCAGUUUGAACAGAUUAAUGGGGUUCCUUUCAUUCAGCUUCCUAAAGGCAUAAAAUGACCCCUCCUGAGCUGGGGCCCUGCUUGUAAGGAUAACUGUGUGCAAGCCAGUCUUCAGCCAAGAUGCCCUAGGCUGUCCCCCAGAUUCAGCCAGAACUG